UGCGCACGGCGACCCGCCGGCUGUGGUGUCACGUGCCGGGCGCCUGCCACCGCCUCCUGGGCGGGAGCUUCCUGUGGCUGUCUCCGCCGCGGCCGCCCGGGGGCCGCGGAAAGCUAGGCGGUUCCGGGCUCGAGAAGGCCCGGUUUUGGUUCGGAUCCGCCGCGAGGUAUCUAGCCUGCCAAGAUGCCAGGGCCAAGACCUCGGAAGGGCCCUAAGACCAGUGGCCAGGGUGCUGAGACUGCCAAGCAGCUGGGGCUUUUUGUGGAGUUCAACCCUGAGGACAUGCUCCUGGGGGUGGAUGAGACUGAAGAUGAUGGAGACCUGGAGGCUGAGUUACUGGCACUCACAGGGGAAACAGCGAGCAGGAGCAGGAAGCCAGCACCCAAGGGGCAGGCUCCACUGCCCAUGGCCCACAUUGAGAAGCUGGCAGCAGACUGUAUGCGAGAUGUGGAGGAGGAUGAAGAAGAGGAAGGGCUGGAGGACGAUGCAGACCUUCUGACAGAGCUGCAGGAGGUCCUGGGUGAGGAUGAAGAAGCGGGUCUGCUGGACGGCAGUGAGGCAGCAAGUCCAGACCUCUGUGAGGAGAAGACUUGGGACAACACUGAACUACCUGUAGAGCAGGCAGCCUGCCAACAGGCAGUACCUGCUGCAGCUCAGGCUGGAGGGCCUCGGGGGCUGCAGGCUUUGCUGGAGGAACGGAUCCGUAACUACCGGGAGGCCGCAGCCAGUGCCAAGGAGGCUGGUGAAGCUGCCAAAGCCCGGCGCUGUGAGCGAGGCCUAAAGACUCUGCAGUCCCAGCUUGCCACUGUGAGGAAAGGCGGGAAGAUCUGUGAGGAUGAGAUCCCACCUCCAGUAGCCUUGGGCAAAAGGCCCCCAGCCCCCCAGGAAAGAGCCAUCAAGAACCCUGAGAUAGACUCUCCAGGUCCCUGUGCCAUGGAGCCAGGCAACCUUUCCCAGCCCGAGUCCAGCCUCCCUGCCAUUGCUCCCUUGCCUGAUUCAGACCCAGACCCACAAGCCCUGCUGUUAGCCCGACAGAGAGAGUACAAGGCGGCUGCUCUCGAUGCCAAGCGGGCUGGAGAUCUAGACCGUGCUCGGGAGCUCAUGAGGAUCGGGAAGAGAUUUGGUACUGUCCUAGAGGCCCUGGAAAAGGGUCAGCCUGUGGACCUGAGUGGCAUGCCCCCAGCACCUGCGGAUCUGAAGGCCCUCCCCCAGGCUUCUAAGGCCUCCUCAGCAACCCAAGGCCUGUCCCCAGCAGUAGAGCAAAUGCAGCCAGUGAUGGCCUCUGACCUCCCAGCCACCCCAGUGGCCCCUGCGGAGCCAACAACAGUGCUGGAUGCUUUACAGCAAAGGCUGAACAAGUAUCGUGAGGCAGGCAUCCAGGCCCGGGCCAAUGGGGAUGAGCGCAAGGCCAGGAUGCACGAUCGCAUUGCCAAGCAAUAUCAGGAUGCUGUUCGAGCUCAUCAGGCAGGACAGAAAGUUGACUUUGCCGAGUUACCUGUUCCUCCAGGAUUUCCUCCCAUCCCUGGCCUGGAGCCCAGGAAAGGUAGUGAGCAGGAUUCAGUGGCAGCAACUUUAGCAACUGCCCAAAAACUGGCCUCAGAAGAUGCAGCCCUGGUAGAUGACGACGAGGAGAGUGACACUCCAGCACAGGCCCCAUUGGCCAAGAAGCCAGCGCAGACUCUGGUCUCUCCAUCCCAUCUUCUGACUGAGCCCAAGGCUUCAAGUUCUAAGGAGUCACUGAGUCCAUCUGUUCGGGAGCAGGUGACACUGCUGGAGGCUCGGAAACUGCAAUACCAGCGAGCAGCUCUGCAAGCCAAGCGCAGGCAGGAUCUUGAGCAGGCCAAAUCCCACUUACGAGUAGCUAAAAGUCUUGAGGCUCAGAUCAUCCAGGCCCGAGCUGGUCAACCCAUUGAUCUCUCCAAGGUAACAUGGCAGGGCCAGUCUAGUAGAAACAGUGCCAGGGAUAGAAUGGGAGGCAGUGAGUGUCAUUGGAGGGGCCUUAUGAUCUGGGCAGGUGCCUUCACCGUUGACAGAUGAAGAGGGGGACUUCAUCCUCAUUCACCAUGAGGAUCUGCGACUCUCCCAGAAGGCUGAGGAGGUGUAUGCCCAGCUACAGAAAAUGCUCCAGGAGCAGCAAGCGAAGUGCCUGCUAUUCUCCAAGCAGUACAUGCACCAGGGAAAUGUGGCUGAGACCACUCGGUUUGAGAGGCUUGCGGAGGACCGAAAGAAACAGCUUGAGAUCCUGCAGCUAGCCCAAGCCCAGGGCCUUGACCCUCCUAGUCAUCACUUUGAGCUGAAGACAUUCCAGACUGUGAGGAUCUUCUCAGAACUCAACAGCACAGAAAUGCAUCUGAUCAUCGUGCGGGGAAUGAACCUCCCAGCCCCGCCAGGAGUGACUCCGGAUGACUUGGAUGCUUUUGUACGGUUUGAGUUUCACUACCCUAACUCGGUGAGGUGCUGAUAGGGUUGGGCGUCUCUGAACUGCAGUGUUGUCUAAUUUGUCUCCAUCUUUGAUAGGCACUGCCACAGGGAGGGGCUGAAGACCCUCUGGCCCAUUUCCUGCUUGAGUUGCUUUCUGCACUUUUGACUCAGCCAAAGUGUUGUGCUUAAACACAUGGUUUUUGAGCUCUCAACUUCUCUCAUCUCUCUGCUAUAGGACCAGGCUCAAAAAAGCAAAACAGCUGUGGUAAAAAAUACCAAUUCUCCAGAAUUUGAACAAGUUUUCAAGCUAAACAUCAAUCGAAACCACCGAGGCUUUAGGAGAGUGAUCCAGAGCAAAGGAAUCAAAUUUGAGAUCUUCCACAAAGGAUCCUUUUUUAGAAGUGACAAGCUGGUUGGCACAGCACACUUGAAAUUGGAAAGGCUGGAGAAGGAGUGUGAGAUCAGAGAGAUCAUGGAGGUUUUGGAUGGCAGAAAGCCCACUGGGGGGAAGCUGGAGGUGAAGGUGAGGCUUCGGGAGCCUCUGAGCAGCCAGGACGUGCAGACGGUCACUGAGAACUGGCUGGUCCUGGAGCCUCGGGGCCUGUGAAGAGGUGGACAUCCUUGGUAACAGCUCACUGACCCAGCUGUGCCGGCUCAAGAGCCGUUGUACAUCAGAGAUGCUGCUACACACGCACCAAAGACCUGAUAACUAACAGUGGCCUGGGCUUUCCUCCUGCUGCCUCUCCUGGACCUUCGUGGAAGCAGGCCUCCCACCCUCCCUGUGGGCGAAGACAAGGAUACCCCACUGCUCUGUGCCACAGAGUCCCGUAACCGCUGCAUAGUAAUUGCGUACCGCUUAACCCAGCCCCCAUUUGCACCAUUUCUGGAUGUGCCUUUCAAAGAUGUAACUGUAGGGAUGGGAGAACUCGAGGGUGAUCGGAACAUCCCGUGUGGGGAGGGACAGGAUUCCGUGACUCCAGCUGGCCAGCGGCAGACUGUCCCGCUCAGCUGUUUUCCCUCUGCCUGUGCCUUUGUUCCUGACAGCUGCUGCACUAGCCUUUCUGCUUCCCAGAGGACUCGGGAACAGGAACGUUACUUUGGUACUAUUGGUGGGAAGUAAGGGAAGGUUCUCUUUGGUUUGGUCCAUGUACCUAAGGUGAAAGACUGUUAAUUGGGGAGAAAAAAAGGAAAAAAGAAAAAGAAAAACUAUCAGUUUUAUGUAGCCAUUUUUAUUUUAAAACUAGAUCUAAUUCACUGUAGGGACUUUAUACUCUGAACAGUGUGAAUUACCUAGAAAAGUCUUCAAAUGCCCUGCUCUCUGUCACUUUAUCUAUUUAUGUACUUAUUUAUUUUGAGACAGGGUUUCUCUAUGUAACAGCCCUGGCAGUCCUGAAACUCUUUGUAGACCAGGCUGGCCUCAAAUUAAGAGAUCCAUCUAUCUGUCUUCUGAGUGCUGGGACUAAAGGCGUGUGCAACCACACCCAGCUUCCCUGUCACUUUAAAAGCAGAAGCAGUGAUCCACAGAGCCACUGCACCUGUGCAUUCUUCUUCUGAGACGGCAUGUCAUGGAGCUGAUCACCUGGCUAAUCCCUGGCUGGCCACUCUGGCCAAUCUUAGCUUUUGUAGUAAAUGCAGGGAAAUGAGGGGGCAGAUCGUUGCAACAAUUAAUAGUCACAAAUGCAUUAUUUUAGAUUUUUAAAAAAUCAGCAUCCCAACUCUUUCCCAUUUUAAAGCACUAAGUUCAGCAAAGUAUCCCUCCAGAUUUACUCUUUACUCUGUAUAUUUGGUUGUAGGAGGCAGGGUCUCACUCUAUAUAGCAGUCCACCUGCCUCAGCCUUCCUAGUGUUGGGAUUACAGGCCUGAGCAUGUGCCAGCCACCAGCCUGGCUUCCUCAAGGUGACUUGUGAAGGCUCUGCGUGAAGUAAACACUCAGCUGCUGGUCACUACACUGCUGCAGAAGCAGCUCAGGGCUGAGCUUCUCCCACUUCACGUAGGAGAUCCCAGGGCUGGAGCUUGUCCAACUGUUAGUGCUUAACAAGGCAGAAACUGCACACAAGUGAUGCCCCAGAACACACUGGCCAAUCUUAGCCACCAUGAGCUCGCAAUCUCUCCUAUGUAAGAGAUUUAACAAUGAUAUUCACAUGAUCAAGCAGUAAUUUGCAAUGAAAGGGUCUCUGCCUUCGUUAAGGGACCUAGAGCAGAGAGGGAGGACUUGAAGAGGUGUUGGUCCCCUGUAUCUUCCUUACAGUCUGGCCUGACUCUUGAUGAUCCCCCAUUGUGCUCCUCUGAUGGAAAUGUCUUAGUUUUCUUUGACUUCAAGGAUCUCCCUUUACAACUUGGUCCCUUCCAGUCCACUGCAUUGUUCUGCUUACUGAAAACAACCUCAGGCAGAGGGAGGCCAACAAAGCCACCCACUGGACAUGGAGACAAUCUUAAAAGGUCUUUGUUGUAGCCAAGGAAUGCAUGGCUAGGGGGAGGGGCCUGCAUAAAGCCUCAUUUUCUAAGACUUGAUCAACCACAGUCACCAAACAUUCACAGAUAGAACCAGGCACAAUGAAAAUCCUUUUUUAAAUAUUGCACUGCAUGUCCUUUCUUUCGUUCUUCCUUUUUUUUUUUUUUUUUUUUUUUGAUUUUUUUUCGGUUUUUUGAGACAGGGUUUCUCUGUGUAGCCUUGGCUGUCCUGGAACUCACUCUGUAGACCAGGCUGGCCUCAAAAUCAGAAAUCCGCCUGCCUCUGCCUCCCAAGUGCUGGGAUUAAAGGUGUGCGCCACCACUGCCCGGCUAUUGCAUGUCCUUUUGAAUUACUGAACUAAACAAUACAUACUUUAUUUUAAAGUCAGGAAAUAGCUUUGUGGCUUUUCCCUUCUGUAGCACCACUUUAAGACCUGUGUGGCCCCUCUCCUAGUUAUUUAGGCUUUUCCCCCACAGGUUUGUAGCAUCCCCUUAAAAGAUCUUUGCACUAAGUGAGGUCAGCUGUUGUGAGUAUAAAACAAACCAGCUGGGCUGGGGCUGGCAGGCAGGAAGCCUGUACCUGGUGUAGUUCUAGUUCUGUCCCUCUCUGGCCUCUAAGAUGGACGUCAGCAGUCUUCUUAGUCCUACGAAUAAGACUUAAAAACCCCAUGCCUGUUAUUUAAUACAAACAGUUAAUCCCAGACUCAAUGCUGAGCAGAUUACUUACUAGAAAUACAUUAAACUUGGGGGCUGGAGAGAUGACUCAGCAGUUAGAGCUCUUCCAGAGGUCCUGAGUUCAAUUCCCAGCAACCACAUGGUGGCUCACAACCAUCUCUAAUGGGAUCCGAUGCCCUCUAUUGGUGUAGUUGAAGAGAGGAACAGUGUACUCACAUAAAUUAAUUUUAAAAAAGAGAAAUACAUUAAAUGCCUAAUUAUCUUUCAGAUGGCCAUAGAGAAAUCUAAUUGGAAUUUGGGGUACCCUAGCAGGACCCAGUGUAGAUGGAGAAGACAGAGACUGGAACUUAAACAAUCUCAGCAUUCUACUACCUUGAGUAUGGGAGUAGCAUAUUGCUAUAAUCCCAGCACUUGGAAGGCCGAGGCAGGAGCGUUGGGAAUUGAAGGUCUUCUUUGACUAUUCUGAGUUCGAGGUCAGCCUGGGCUACAUGAGAGCCCACCUCAAAACACCAGGAAAUACAUUAUACAAUAUAUGCUUACAAAUGAAUUUGGUAAGCAUACAAUAGUUUUUAAAUACACCAGUGCAAUUGUGCUCUUCAGUGUAGAUGCUCUGUAUUUAUCUUUUAGGGUUAAAUCUAGAAAACCUGGCCUAAUUAGGAAUGUGGCGUGUAAGCAUUUCACCUUGUAAAUUUCAGUGCACAUUAUAUAAAACCAGAGCUCAAAAGAGAAGAAAGUGAGUAUCUUUGGUGACUUAAUUUCCCAGGAUGAUCUUACUAUACAUAAAGGAUAUCUAUAAGCUAAGACUGGACCUGUCUGUAUGGCUCCAGAGUUUGUUCCUUUAUGGGAAGAUUAAAAACCUUACAUGUCCUAGAAGAUCCAUGUCCAAGGCAAGGUACAGUUGGCUGGGCAGGAGGACUGGGCAGCUGCUGCACAGGUGCCCACCGUCGGAGGUCUAUUCAGACUACGCUCAAAAUUAACACUACUGUGCCUCUCAGGCGCUUCCUGCUGUAGGUCUGCAGAUGGCUCUAGACCUCUGUUCUUACAAGUUAGUGCUGUGCAGUGUUCAAGGGCACUUCUGAGGUUUUGUACCAAUUGUAGAGAAAGGUCCAGAUCCUGGGUCUCUGACUUUCAUCAGCACCUUUGAAGAGUAGGUGCACAGUGUACCCCUCACCCACAGGAUGGACACACAUUCUCCAAGGGCCUUGGGAGAGAGGUGGUGGCAGCCUACCACUGUCCCACAGGCCUGCAUCUGAACCCAGGGGCGUUGUGAAUAAACUGCUUUCCCUGCAGAGGGACUAAAUCCUGUGUGAGCCCGGCCUCCACUGACACCAGUAUCAGCUGCCCUCAAGCAGGAUAUUAUAAACUAGAGAAAUGCAUUUGGCCUGUGAUCAAAAUAAAUUUAACAAAGAAAAUCAAGAGUGUACAAAGUUGAGUGUAAUGGCACACAACUUUAAUCCCAGCGCUUGGGAGGCAGAGGCAGGCAGAUCUCUGAGCUCCAGGCCAGCCAGUCAGUAUCACAUAUAUCUUCGGUGAACCAGAUCUUUGUUUCCUGUACUCCAGUUAAAGGGCUGCCUGGAGAUAAAGUGAGCAGGGUAAGUGCAAGAUUAGCCUGGGGCUUCUUGUUAGGCGACACAGGAAGGAUUAAACCUAAGUAUACCUUGAAAAGGAUGCAGGAGCCAGCUUGAAGGUGUUCAAAUUAACCAAAGAAGACAUCACCCGAGUACAAGACUAAGACCGUAGAAGUCCACAGGACCAACAAGAAAACUCCAUGAAUAAAGGACAAAGGAAGGAGGGGCUUAUUUGUUUUGAGUCUAUUAAAUCCAGCUCAUAAAGAAAGGGCCAUGCUGAAACUAGAAAGUCAUUUUACAGCUGUCAUAGUGAAAGAGCAGUGCAGGCAAGAAAACAUCAGUGGUGCUAAACCGAAGGGGAAUUUUGAGGAGCAAGAUCUUUGCAUAGAUUGAAAAGUUCUGCAUAUAUUAGUUAUUACUAAAAGGGUAAAUACAUAGUUGGGAAACUGGACAUGGUGUACUGGUGAUAAUGAGCUUUGCCACUGUCUCUGAAAGGCAGAUGGAUAUCAAGUGUUUCUGGCCAAUAAUCCAAACUCAAAUGAGGUAUUUUCUACUAAAACCAAACAAAAAUCCAGGAUGUGAGGGCCCAAAAAAAAAAAAAAAAAUUCCAUGCCACAAAGAGAUAAAGACAAGCUUAAAGCUAUGUGCAGCGUCUGAUACUAAACUGGAAAGUUCUCUGUUGAAGAAAGGUUCCCAAAGGUUCUGGGCAGGUAUGAGGUUAGAGCCUCCAGACACUGUGACUUGACUUAAGGAUGAGGGGCUGUACUGUAUGCACCUUAAUCUGAAAUACCUCAGUUUAAUAGAGGAGGGGAAGACAAGCACUGACGAACCAAAGGGGCAAAGUGCUAGUGUGUGAGCGUGUGCGUCCGUGUGUGUGUGUGUAUGCGUCCCUGUGAGCGUGUGUCCGUGGGGCUGUAGAAAAGACGCCUUGUUUUUUUUUUUCAUGUACAACUUUCCUGGAGUUUAAGAGAUUUCUUAGUAAAAUGUUCUUUAAAAAUA